UCCCAUUAUUAUUGUGUGAGUUGCAAUGUGU
rnacentral:piRNA from 1 species